rnacentral:tRNA from 1 species
GCCCGGGUGGCGGAAUGGUAGACGCUGGGGACUUAAAAUCCCCUGGCAGUAAUUGUCGUGCGAGUUCAAGUCUCGCCCCGGGCA